rnacentral:rRNA from 1 species
CCUACGGGAGGCUGCAGUAGGGAAUCUUUCACAAUGGGCGAAAGCCUGAUGGAGCAACGCCGCGUGCGGGAUGAAGGCCAUCGGAUUGUAAACUGCUUUUAUCAGCGAGCAAUAUGAUGGUAACUUAUGCAUAAGGAUCGGCUAACUCAGUGCCAGCAGCCGCGGUCAUACGUAGGAUCCGAGCAUUAUCCGGAGUGACUGGGUGUAAAGAGUGGCGUAGGUGGCAUAAUGAGUAGCUAGUGAAAACUGGUGGCUCAACCAUUCAGACUAUUAGCUAAACUGUUAAGCUCGAGACCGUUAGGAGUAACGGGAAUUGCUAGUGUAGGAGGGAAAACCGUAGAUAUUAGAAGAAACACCAAUAGCGUAGGCAGGUUACUGGGACGGUUCUGACACUAAGGCACGAAAGCGGAGGGAGCAAACGAGAUUAGAUACCCCUUGUAGUC